ACCGGUUAUGGCGGUUUGUGCAAACACGUCUGUGUUAGUUUCGACGUGUUUUACAACUAUUUACUGUGGAUACCAUUUUUUCAUUAUGUUGCUGACUGUAAAUUAAUUAUCUCCAGGAUGCAUUCUAAUGGACACCCCUACCUAGUUGAAAGCCAGAGAAAGUUGGUCACAUUGUAUGAGAGUAUGUAUAAUACCAGCAAAGAAAGAUGCCCAGCAGCAUUUGGACAGAAAAGGACAUCCAUGGUAGAAAACAUAUAUGUAGCCAGCCCGAUAGCACAGCUGUAUGCAGAAAAAUUGGCUCAGCCACCUCCUACUGUAAUAUCUCCUGCACCUAGGAUACUUAAGGUCCCUGUACCA